CAAAAACAUAGCUGUAUGUAUAAAUAUAUAGUGUUUUCUGCUCAAUGAGAAUUAAAUAGCCGCAGUACCCUGACUGUGCUAAGGUAGCGCAAUCAAUUGGCUUUUAAAUGGAGUCCUGUAUGAAAGAAACUAUGGAGGGCUACUUUCCUAUUAAUAAUAACUGAAUUUGCUAAAUAAGUGCAAAUUCUUAUAUAAAAAUAAAAGACGAGAAGACCCUAGAAAUUUGAAGUAAUAACUUUUUGUUGGGGCAACACAGUAACAAAUUAAUUUACUCUUAAAACACGAAAACUUUAAUUUGAUAGAUUAAAUUACUCUAGGGAUAACAGCAUAAUUUGGAAAAGUUUGUGACCUCGAUGUUGGAUUAGGGAAUUUACAUUUAGAAGAUAAAUAAUAAGCUCUGUUC
rnacentral:rRNA from 1 species